UUCCAGAACCAGACACCAGAAAAGUUCUCAACAAAUGAAUGGCUUCUUUAGAAGACAAAGAAUAAGUAAGUUCAGUUGUAACUAGAAGUGAAAGGAAAGUCAUCUGCAGCUACGCUUGGAGAUGUUGGUCUUUUCAUAGCAUGGUCUUUUUGUGGCAUGCAGCAGUGAGGGCAAAGAAACCAUUAGGGAACUUUGAAGCCUUGGUUUGCUGCUGCUAGGGAUCCUUUUCUUCUCUGGUAGUGCAGGAGCUAUGAGGGAAUGGAGCUUCUGAGAGCCAGGUGGCGGGAGAAGCUCCAUUUUGAAAAAUGGGAAUGGGCUUUGCGGGAAAGUGAGGCAUACAACCUACUUUGUGGCUCCUGUCUUGUGGUUGGCACAAGGCACCACAUGCAUCCUUUCCACUUUAACUCAAAAUAAAAUCAGAUUGUUUGCUUUAUUGUUUGGAAAAAUGCCCAGUUGUUAAACUUUCCUGUUGGAUCAGUUUUACCAACUGCAUUCCAUCCUCUGGGUUUGAAAACUUGGAGGCUAUUUGACCAUAUUUCUGCACCCCAUGUCGCCAAAGGUCACCAAAAUGUAGCUAAAUAUUUCUUGGUGGAGUUAAAGCUUUUUUUCUUUUAUUUUUGCAGAAGUCUUGAAAGGUUAAAGGAACUCUACUUCUGCCUUCCAUUCGUUGCUAGGGUCCUCUUACCUUUGAUAAGAUACCAUAUCACCUUUUGAUUAAAAUCUCCAGAGAUGUGAACUCACCUCCGCCAAAGAGAAGUCCCAUCAUAGGUGGAUAGCUCUCUGGUUUCACACAUUUCUUUGCAUUUCACUAUUUUGCUUCCCUAAGAGCUCAGUGUUGCCCCACUGAGCAAGGCCUACUCUUCUUUCUUUUGAUGGUCCAUCAAAUACGGGAAGUUAGUUCUCGUGUCUAUGCUGAGAGCUAGUUCCAAAGUGAGUCACACCUUUCCUCAGGAUUGCGGCCCCAUCUGCCAUUCGGAUCUUCAGACUGCCAAUGCCCCCUGCAAUCAGACUUGCACAUUGAUGCUAGGUUUAUCUAAAAACAGCUUUUCCUUUGCGAUCACUUGCUGAAACAUCAACAAAGUGUUCCCGUUAUACAAAAACACAUUUCCUGCUAAGGGUUUUUUUUCCCCCUCCCACAGCCCUAUGAUUGGUUUAUUACCUGGGUCUCUAUUUCCCAAUAAAGCCAUCUCCUGCUCUGGUUAGGCGACCUUCACAGUGGUCCCUCCACUUACUUUGCUCAUCUCUCAGCUUCUCACCGUAUGCAUUCCUGGGCUUCCUCAUCUGGCAAGCUUUACAUUGCUUUCUCCAAAAUCAUCAUCUUUUUUUAUAACCUUAAAUAUCACUUUCUUCAUAAAGCCUAUCCUGAACAACAUUAGCCUCAAUUAUGUGACAUGUAUUUUGAAUGUGUCCUCAUAAGUGAAUGUCUUCGGGCAGGUUCCCCAGGAAACAAACUGUGAAAUGGAGAUUUGCAUGCAGGAUGUUUGUGGGGAGUAGUCUCAAACACAAACCUGAGAGGAAGUAAAGGGAGAAGGACUGGAUACAGGGUAAAUUUGAAAACUGCAAUGUUGUUGCAACAGAAGCUUCAGUAAAGUCAUGGGGCACACUGGAGCUGGGAUUGCCUGUUGAGGCUGGGAGGCCAGACUUUCUAUUGCUGUAUGGACCAGUCAUUAGAUGUGGGCUGCCUCCUGUAAGAAGCAAAAUCUUGAGCCAGCAGCUUUCUUUUGCAGAGAGCAAUUUCUGGGGAGGAACUGGCUGUGAGUUCUCAGCAAGCAACACUCCCAGCAGCUGGGAAGAUGAAGACGAGUGUCUCAGCUCUGAGGUGAAGUCUGGGUGGCAAUCUUUAACAUGAACAAUAUGCAGUUAAGAACAACCUAGCUUGUGCUUGGAUGUACAAGAGCUUCAGUUUCCCCAGCUGCAGUGAAGAGUAACCUCUCUCCUGACCUCCUGCACCGUAGAGUCUCUGUCUGUCGCCAGGCUGGAGUGCACCGGUACGAUCUCG